AACGAACGCUGGCGGCAUGCCUAACACAUGCAAGUCGAACGAAGGCUUCGGCCUUAGUGGCGCACGGGUGCGUAACGCGUGGGAAUCUGCCCUUGGGUUCGGAAUAACUCAGAGAAAUUUGAGCUAAUACCGGAUGAUGACGUAAGUCCAAAGAUUUAUCGCCCAAGGAUGAGCCCGCGUAAGAUUAGCUAGUUGGUGGGGUAAAGGCCGUACCAAGGCGACGAUCUUUAGUCUGGUCUGAGAGGAUGAUCAGCCACACUGGGACGUGAGACACGGCCCACGACUCCUACGGGAGGGCAGCAGUGGGGAAGUAUU
rnacentral:rRNA from 1 species